CCUACGGGUGGCAGCAGUGAGGAAUAUUGGUCAAUGGGCGGAAGCCUGAACCAGCCAAGUAGCGUGCAGGAUGACGGCCCUACGGGUUGUAAACUGCUUUUAUACGGGAAUAACGCGCCUUACGUGUAGGGCUUUGCAUGUACCGUAUGGAUAAGGACCGGCUAAUUCCGUGCCAGCAGCCGCGGUAAUCCGGAAGGUCCGGGCGUUAUCCGGAUUUAUUGGGGUGAAAGGGAGCGUAGGCCGCAUGUCAAGCGUGCUGUGAAAUGUCCGGGCUCAACCCGGGCCUUGCAGCGCGAACUGGGGUGCUUGAGUGCGCGGAAAGCAGGCGGAAUUCGUCGUGUAGCGGUGAAAUGCUUAGAUAUGACGAAGAACCCCGAUUGCGAAGGCAGCUUGCUGCAGCGGAACUGACGCUGAUGCUCGAAAGCGCGGGUAUCGAACAGGAUUAGAUACCCUUGUAGUC
rnacentral:rRNA from 1 species